rnacentral:lncRNA from 1 species
AAUGACUGGUUUCACGUGUCCAUCCAUGUCUGAAUCAGCUGUUACUGUCCUUGUUGCAGUUUCUGUCCAUGGUGGUCUGAUAUCUCAAAGCUGAUCAAGUUCCUGGUGGGUCUCCUGUCUCAAGCAGUAGAGUGGGAGGAGCAGUCAGGAGAGAAGACACUGAAGCUGGUAUCAUCAGUGUGUACUUACAGAACCUUCCCUUUCUGUGACGGGGAUGAUGAGGAUGAGUGGUUUCAAUGUGAUCUCCUGCUGGAUCUGUACUCACAUGUGGAGGACUAUGAGACUAAAACAGGCAGGAGUGUCCUUCCAUCAUUGAGACCACUUUAUCAGUCAGCUCCUGCAGUCUGGUCCAUAGACCUCUCAGAGAGAAAGGCCUCCCUCCUCCUAGAAGUGCUGAAACUCCAACCAGAGAAGAAACCAGUACAGCUGAAAGGCUGGUCAGAUGAAGAGAGUGAAGUGAGGAGUUUCCUUCAGUGUCUGCCUUACAUCUCACAGCUGAGGUGAGUUGGAUCAGUACAGCUCAGGUGAGUUGGAUCAGUACAGCUCAGGUGAGUUGGAUCAGUACAGCUCAGGUGAGUUGGAUCAGUACAGCUCAGGUGAGUUGGAUCAGUACAGCUCAGGUGAGUUGGAUCAGUACAGCUCAGGUGAGUUGGAUCAGUACAGCUCAGGUGAGUUGGAUCAGUACAGCUCAGGGAUUGUUGUCUGUCCCUGUAUUUCACUUUUAAAAAGGAAGUUUGUUCGUAACAACCGAAUAUGCUAAACAUACACAUACUGUUUUGGAAAGAUACAAUCUUACUUUGUGGUGAUGAUUAUAAGGAACAGUUGAAGUGGAUGAUGAGUUUAGAAAGAUACAGUCUUACUUUGUGGUGAUGAUUAUAAGGAACAGUUGAAGUGGAUGAUGAGUUUAGAAAGAUAGUCAUGUUAUUUGACCUGCUAUAAUGUGACCAUCUGAAAUGCAGAUUAUAUCUCACAUAUUCAUCUAUUUGUUGUUAAACUGUUCAUGCAGUUUUACUCCACCACAGUAUCAGAGAAGAUCCCCUGAAGAGUGGAGAAAGAGAGAGAAGACAUUCCUACUGAAUCUGUGUCUUCAAGCAGCCCUCCAUGAGAGAGAAACCAUACAAACAACUGUAGGGAAAGUGUUGUCACUGUCUGAAGUUUAUCAGGGUCGGAAAUGGGAUCUCCUGCUGGAUCUGUACUCUCACGUGAAGGACUAUGAGACUAAAACAGGCAGGAGUGUCCUUCCAGCAUUACAGCCAGUUUACCAGUCAGCUCCUGCAGUCUGGUCCAUAGACCUCUCAGAGAGAAAGGCUUCCCUCCUCCUUGAAGUGCUGAAACUCCAACCAGAGAAGAAAUCAGUAGAGCUGUGGGACUGGUCAGAUGAAGAGAGUGAAGUGAGGAGUUUCCUUCAGUGUCUGCCCUACAUCUCACAGCUGAGUUUCUGUCCAUGGUGGUCUGAUCCCUCAAAGCUGAUCAAGUUCCUGGUGGGUCUCCUGUCUCAAGCAGCAGAGUGGGAGGAGCAGUCAGGAGAGAAGACACUGAAGCUGGUGUCAUCAGUGUGUACUUACAGAACCUUCCCUUUCUGUGACGAGGUUUAUUUUGAUGAGUCGUUUCAAUGGGAUCUCCUGCUGGAUCUGUAUUCACAUGUGAAGGACUAUGAGACUCAAACAGGCAGGAGUGUCCUUCCAGCAUUACAGCCAGUUUACCAGCCAGCUCCUGCAGUCUGGUUCAUAGAUCUCUCAGAGAGAAAGGUCUCCCUCCUCCUAGAAGUGCUGAAACUCCAACCAGAGAAGAAAUCAGUAGAGCUGAAAGGCUGGUCAGAUGAAGAGAGUGAAGUGAGGAGUUUCCUUCAGUGUCUGCCCUACAUCUCACAGCUGAGGUUUGCUCCACCACAGGAUCAGAUAGGAUCCCCUGAAGAGUGGAGAAAGAGAGAGAAGACAUUCCUACUGAAUCUGUGUCUUCAAGCAGCCCUCCAUGAGAGAGAAACCAUACAAACAACUGUAGAGAAAGUGUUGUCACUGUCUGAAGUUUAUCAGGGUCGGAAAUGGGAUCUCCUACUGGAUCUGUACUCUCAUGUGAAGGACUAUGAGACUCAAACAGGCAGGAGUGUCCUUCCAGCAUUACAGACAGUUUACCAGUCAGCUCCUGCAGUCUGGUCCAUAGACCUCAGAGAGAGAAAGGUCUCCCUCCUCCUAGAAGUGCUGAAACUCCAACCAGAGAAGAAAUCAGUAGAGCUGAAAGGCUGGUCAGAUGAAGAGAGUGAAGUGAGGUGUUUCCUUCAGUGUCUGCCCUACAUCUCACAGCUGAGUUUCUGUCCAUGGUGGUCUGAUAUCUCAAAGCUGAUCAAGUUCCUGGUGGGUCUCCUGUCUCAAGCAGCAGAGUGGGAGGAGCAGUCAGGAGAGAAGACACUGAAGCUGGUGUCAUCAGUGUGUAUUUACAGAACCUUCCCUUUCUGUGACGGGGAUGAUUUUGAUGAGUCGUUUCAAUGUGAUUUCCUGCUGGAUCUGUAUUCACAUGUGAAGGACUAUGAGACUCAAACAGGCAGGAGUGUCCUUCCAACAUUACAGACAGUUUACCAGUCAGCUCCUGCAGUCUGGUCCAUAGACCUCUCAGAGAGAAAGGCCUCCCUCCUCCUAGAAGUGCUGAAACUCCAACCAGAGAAGAAACCAGUAGAGCUGAAAGGCUGGUCAGAUGAAGAGAGUGAAGUGAGGAGUUUCCUUCAGUGUCUGCCCUACAUCUCACAGCUGAGGUGA